GGCUCGGUGGUGGGUGGUCUACAUCUGCAUCAGCAUUGGAGGUCUACAUUGACACUUAUGCAGAAGGAGCCUGUUCGAUUCGGGCCCGAGCCA